AGCGAACGCUGGCGGCAGGCUUAACACAUGCAAGUCGAACGCAUCCUUCGGGGUGAGUGGCAGACGGGUGAGUAACACGUGGGAACGUACCCUUCGAUCUGGGAUAACUUCGGGAAACUGGAGCUAAUACCGGAUACGCCCUUUUGGGGAAAGGUUUACUGUCGAAGGAUCGGCCCGCGUCUGAUUAGCUAGUUGGUGGGGUAACGGCCUACCAAGGCGACGAUCAGUAGCUGGUCUGAGAGGAUGAUCAGCCACACUGGGACUGAGACACGGCCCAGACUCCUACGGGAGGCAGCAGUGGGGAAUAUUGGACAAUGGGCGCAAGCCUGAUCCAGCCAUGCCGCGUGAGUGAUGAAGGCCUUAGGGUUGUAAAGCUCUUUUGUCCGGGACGAUAAUGACGGUACCGGAAGAAUAAGCCCCGGCAAACUUCAUG
rnacentral:rRNA from 1 species